GAUGAACGCUAGCGGGAGGCCUAACACAUGCAAGCCGAGCGGUAUUGUUUCUUCGGAAAUGAGAGAGCGGCGUACGGGUGCGUAACACGUGUGCAACCUGCCUUUAUCUGGGGGAUAGCCUUUCGAAAGGAAGAUUAAUACUCCAUAAUAUAUUGAACGGCAUCGUUUAAUAUUGAAAGCUCCGGCGGAUAGAGAUGGGCACGCGCAAGAUUAGCUAGUUGGUGAGGUAACGGCUCACCAAGGCGAUGAUCUUUAGGGGGCCUGAGAGGGUGAUCCCCCACACUGGUACUGAGACACGGACCAGACUCCUACGGGAGGCAGCAGUGAGGAAGAUUGGUCAAUGGGUGCAAGCCUGAACCAGCCAUCCCGCGUGAAGGACGACUGCCCUAUGGGUUGUAAACUUCUUUUGUAUAGGGAUAAACCUACCCUCGAGAGGGUAGCUGAAGGUACUAUACGAAUAAGCACCGGCUAACUCCGUG
rnacentral:rRNA from 1 species